CGCCCACCAGCUAGCCCCAACCCUAGAUUAACCCCCCACUAUUAUUUACCCUAAAAUAAGUUUAAUAAAUUAAACAAACCAUUUUUCCCUCCAAGUACGGGCGACGGAAAAGAGACCCCGGAGCAAUAGAAAUAGUACCGCAAGGGAAAGCUGAAAAAGAAAUGAAAUAAACCAUUUAAGCCUAAAAAAGCAGAGAUUUUCCCUCGUACCUUUUGCAUCAUGAUUUAGCUAGUAUCCCCGGGCAAAGAGCCCUUUAGUUCGGCCCCCCGAAACUGGCGCGAGCUACUCCGAGACAGCCUAUAUAGGGCCAACCCUUCUCUGUGGCAAAAGAGUGGGAAGAGCUCUGAGUAGAGGUGACAGACCUACCGAGCCCAGUUAUAGCUGGUUACCUAAGAAAUGAAUAGAAGUUCAGCCCCUUAACUUAAUAAUCCGCCCUAGCCUCACUUAGUCUUGGACCUGAAUUAAAUUAAGGGAGUUAGUCAAAGGAGGUACAGCUCCUUUGAAACAAGACACAACUUUAACAGGAGGAUAAGGAUCAUAAUUAAUAAGGUUAAAGUGUUUUAGUGGGCUUAAAAGCAGCCACCUCAGCAGAAAGCGUUAAAGCUCAUUCACCUCUCCCCACCCUAUAUUCUGAUAACACAUCCUACCCCCCUAGUCUUAUUAGGUCCUCUUAUGCAACCAUAUGAAAGACCAUGCUAAUAUGAGUAAUAAGAAGGCCCUAAACCUUCUCCUGGCACACGCGUAUAUCGGAACGGACCCCCCACCGACCUUUACCGGACCCAACUAAAGAGGGUAAUGAAUAAUAAACUAAAAUUCUAGAAAAAUAUUCAACAGAUAACCGUUAACCCCACACCGGAGUGCCCGCAAGGAAAGACUAAAAGAAAAAGAAGGAACUCGGCAAGCACAAGCCUCGCCUGUUUACCAAAAACAUCGCCUCUUGCAAACACUAACCAUAAGAGGUCCCGCCUGCCCUGUGACUAUAUGUUUAACGGCCGCGGUAUUUUGACCGUGCGAAGGUAGCGCAAUCACUUGUCUUUUAAAUGAAGACCUGUAUGAAUGGCACAACGAGGGCUUAACUGUCUCCUUUUUCCAGUCAAUGAAAUUGAUUUCCCCGUGCAGAAGCGGGGAUACUAACAUAAGACGAGAAGACCCUAUGGAGCUUUAGACAUAAAAUCAGCCCACACUUAACCCCCCGAAAUAAAGGGGUAAAACUUGCUUGGCCCCUGCUUAAUUGUCUUUGGUUGGGGCGACCGCGGGGAAAAAUAAAACCCCCACACGGAAUGAGAGAACCUCUCCUACAACCAAGAGUUACAACUCUAAGUAACAGAACCUCUGACCGCAACGAUCCGGCGUUAGCGCCGAUCAACGAACCGAGUUACCCUAGGGAUAACAGCGCAAUCCCCUUCCAGAGCCCAUAUCGACAAGGGGGUUUACGACCUCGAUGUUGGAUCAGGACAUCCUAAUGGUGCAGCCGCUAUUAAGGGUUCGUUUGUUCAACGAUUAAAGUCCUACGUGAUCUGAGUUCAGACCGGAGUAAUCCAGGUCAGUUUCUAUCUAUGAAAUGAUCUUUUCUAGUACGAAAGGACCGAAAAGGAGAGGCCCAUGCUUAAAGUAUGCCUCACCCCCACCUAAUGAAAUCAACUAAAAUAGGCAAGAGGGCAUAGCCCCUCAGCCUAAAAACAUGGCAU
rnacentral:rRNA from 1 species